rnacentral:lncRNA from 1 species
CAUCAUCAAAUCAUCCCUGCACUAUAGGCCAAUGAUAUUCUUUAGUAUCACGACCACGAAUUAUCCAUGCACCACGGGCCAAAGAUAAUCAUAUUUUCAUCAACGGUCCUGAUCAUGCCAUAAAACAAUUCAUCUUUGCACCCUUGGCCGAAGAGAAUCCAUAGCCAUAAUCAUACCAAAAACUGUCCAUCAAUGCACUACGGGCCAAUGAGGACUUUUUNNNNN